AAAACCAAAAAUAAACAGACAUUCUUACCUGAUGAGGAGUUUUUGGAAACAAGGGUUCAGUGGGCUUGGUGAAUUUCCCCGGAGAGCCCUGCCCUCCCCUCUCCCCUUUGGUCAUGGUCGAGAGAUUGUGUGUGAGGCGACAGCUGAACCUCUGCUGCUGUGUGUGCGACGGAGUGAUGAAGUGAUGAGUGUGACUCCUGGUGUGAUCCAGAGUGGCCUGCCACUGGGAGGUGCGUGUCAGGGGCUGGAAAUGGAUGUGGCUGUGGCUGCGCACAUAUGAGUGAGCGAUGACUCUGGAGGCUGGGAGCUCCUCCUGCCCCUCUCUGACAACUCUGCCGCUUUCCAUCGCCAUCCGCUCUCUGUUGUGUUCUGGAACGAAGCCAGCAGGGGAGGGCGAGGAAAAGGAGAUACAUGAAAAGGCUCACCUGCUCUAAAAGACGCACAGCUGCCUGACCUUGUCUUCGGACUCCUGCUGGAUUCUGCCAGUUUACUGAACCUGGAACUGAUUCCUGACACCGUUCUGGAUUUCCUUCUGGUAACUCUUCAGAUAUCUGAUCUUCUGGCCCGGACUCCUGUGAACCUCCUCGAUGUCGGCUUUGACUUCACCCUCUGGAUUACCCGACCUUCCUUUGUCUGCAUGGAUCUGAGCUCCUGCCUGUUCCCCGGCCUCUGGGGCUUCAAUGUCUGGGACUCUCUGGGCAGAGUUUGCCACGUCUUAUCGGCAGCCAACUGGCUGGAAUCUACCUGGUCCUCUGGGUGCAGACUGAACAUUAAGACAAGAGGUUCCUGCCUUAGAUGCCCUAGCUGUUCACUGCAGAUCAGACGAUUUUUAAUAAACCUUUUUUUUUUAAUCCUA